rnacentral:rRNA from 1 species
UACGUAGGGUGCAAGCGUUAAUCGGAAUUACUGGGCGUAAAGCGUGCGCAGGCGGUUAUGCAAGACAGAUGUGAAAUCCCCGGGCUCAACCUGGGAACUGCAUUUGUGACUGCAUGGCUAGAGUGCGGCAGAGGGGGAUGGAAUUCCGGCGUGUAGCAGUGAAAUGCGUAGAUAUGCGGAGGAACACCGAUGGCGAAGGCAAUCCCCUGGGCCUGCACUGACGCUCAUGCACGAAAGCGUGGGGAGCAAACAGG